AAAGUUUUAAUUUCAUAAAACUGUCGUUAUGUAGGAUAUUAUAUUUUGAUGAGAAAAAAUGUCUGUAACAAUGAAAUUCUAAUCGACCUGUAUAAUAAUAGGUACUGCGUGUUAAUAUCCUUCGACGAUCCCUCUUCGAGGCAUUCCCACAGAACAGCCGCGACGGUUCUAUGAUAAUAAAAGUGUCGUUAUAUACGUAUUAUUUUAACGUUAAUACUGCGAUAGGUAUGUCAUCAUUUGAACUGUAACACACGUUCCCGGCGCACGCGUUAUACCGCGCACGGCGGCGUUUAUAAUAUAUUUAGACCGCAAAACACAUUCGAAAUGUUCAAAUACGUCUACUUGAUCGUGUGCGUUUUGUGUCUGUUUUACGUGCUAGCCGCCGUCUACAUGCUGUUCAGCGAUUUGAUAUUGGAUCCUUUGCAUGGCUAUCUGUUCGACCGAGUGGGCACCUCUGUAGGCCAAGCCACCAGCUAUAGCUAGGGUAUACUUGUCUAUGGGUAAUUCCAUCACAAACGUCGACGUACCUAUUCAAAUCGUCCGCAGAACAUUGUCAUAAACGAUUAGGUAUACCGACUGGAACAAUACUGCCCCUGAUGGACCAAAAUCGUGACGAAGUAAAUUUCAUACUAUUAAUAUUCGUUUACCGUUUGCGACCACAAUCCACAUCGUCUGCCCGCUGCCGCAGUCGUCAGUCGCCGACCGCCGUCCAGAAAUAUUAAUAAUAUUCGGACCAACGAAUAAUGUUAAUAUCGCAAAAACCGUUGAGAAUGUCCAUAUGAGCUAUAGAUUCAACGAGGACUUAAACAGGCUUUGGUAUCAUACAAACUGAAAGAAAAACGGAACAUUAACAAAAAUGGUAGCAAUCAGAUAUGCAAUCACAGAAAUCAGAAUAAUAUAUUUUGGAUCAAAAUGACUGUUAUCAGCUUUGUAUAUUAUUAUAGUCUUUAUUAUUACAUAUAUUUUUAUUUUACUGCUCCCCAAAGUGGAUAAAUCCUUAAGUUUAAACUUACCAUAAAAUAACCAUUGCUUGUAGCUUUCUAUUUAGUAUUUUUUAUAUAACAAAUGUAAAUAAUAUUAAUUAAUAUAAUAAACUAUUUUUAAGUAAACUGUUAAUAACAUUUUAUUGUUAUAAAGUUAUUUAUUAACUUGCGUGUUGUGAAUACACUAAAAUUAGAAAUUUUAGUUGUGAUUCUUUGUAUUAUAUUGUUAUAAAUAAGUGUUAUAAAUAAGACACU